rnacentral:lncRNA from 1 species
AUAGCCAAGGGGCUAGCGCUAGGGUUUUCAUUUAUGGCAUCGUUGUCCAGAACUGACUGAAACUCUGAGGAAAACGCAAAAGAAAAGAGAUUACUUCAACAUAAAUCAAACCAUCAAAGGGUAAACAAAUAUGGUAAGGUCUUUACGGAACGACAAUAUACAAAGAAAAGACUACACGUGCAAAUACUACGGCCAAAAAAAAAACAUUACCAGGGACGUUUACAACUUCUGCUAGAUUUUCUUCUAAAAUUCUUCCCUCACACUGCUGAGGCAAAACUUGUCCAGCGGCAUCAGCAUCUACUGCAUCCUUUGGCCCUUCAGAGGCAGGACAGCCUUCGACAAAUUGUGUACUUUGGUGAGUAUCUUCAGUCUGCUUCCUAGGUUGUUGUACAAUAGGACCCCCUGAAUUACUUGCUUCCACGGGUGGAACAGUUUGACAAUUUUCAGGUUCGGCAGAUGAAACCUUCCCGGUUACAGAGAAAUUGACUUGCUCAUUAGCCUCAGAUGAUGUGGUCACCAUAUGUAAAUCUACUGAAGAUGUAAGACUGACAGCAGGUGCUCCAUCUUGGCUUAGAUGUUGCGAUUCUUCAGGUUUGAGAGGAAAUGCUUCACAUUCUUUACCGUCAAUCAUUGUCCCUGAGAAAUAAAAGGUAUACACAUACACAUGUAGAGUGUUAUAAAUAAGUAAUUAUGAUAUAUCAAUUUUGUAUGCAAUUACCGGCUGUACGCUAAACCCAAAAAAAAAAAAAGAAAGAAGAAGAAGAAAUACAGAACCAAGAGUAUGAAACUAUAUAUCAAAAGAAUGAGACAAUAUAAUUACCUGAUUUGUCUAUUGGAAUGGUGUCAGACUGAGAAUUUGACUCCACCAGCUUGGAUGCGGAGUCUCUUAUAACAUAACCAACAGACUCAGACACAACGCUUUCAGAUAAGACUUGAGAGCUCUUGGCAUCCGGAUCUGUAUGAAUUCACAAAUAUUCACAUACCUAACAUGUAUCUUUCUAAAUAAACCAUUCUAAAACAAUCAGAAGAAACUGCUAGAAAGAAAGUUUCACAUGAUCAUACAAACUCACCAGCGGGGUAUGAAACAGAAGUCGCAGAUGUCAUAAUCCUACCGGAUGCAGCAGUCUUAUCCUCUUCCUGGCAAUCUGCCACAGCUUCACUCCGAAGAUUAGCCAAGGAGCUAGCUUUAGGGUUUUCAUUUAAGGCAUCCUUGUCCAGAAUUGACCGAGUCUCUAAGGAAACGCAAAUAUGGUAAGGUCUUAACGGAACGACAGUAUACAAAGAAAAGAGCACGUGCAAAUACUACGCAAAAAAAAAAAAAAAAAAAAAAAAAAAAAAAAAAAAAAAAAAAAAAAAAAAAAAAAAAAAACAUUUACCAGGGACGUCUACAACUUCUGUUAGAUUUUUUUCUAAAAUUGUUUCCUCGCACUGCUGAGGCAAAACUUGUCCAGCGGCAUCAGCAUCUACUGCAUCCUUUGACCCUUCAGAGGUAGGACAACCAUCGAAAAAUUGUGUACUUUGCUGAGUAUCUUCAGUAUGCUUGCUAGGUUGUUGUGCAAUAUGAAUCCCGGAAUUACUUGCUUCCACAGGUGAAACAGUUUGGCAAUUUUCAGGUUCGCCAGAUAAAACCUUCUCGGUUACAGAGAAAUUGACUUGCUCAUUAGCCUCAGAUGAUGUAGUCACCAUAUGUAAAUCUACUGAAGAUGUAAGACUGACAGCAGAAGCUCCAUCUUGGCUUAGAUGUUGCGAUUCUUCAGGUUUGAGAGGAAAGGCUUUACAUUCUUUAAUGUCAAUCAUAGUCCCUGAGAAAUAA